UUCCUGGCCAUGGGAUCUUUCUCAGAUUGU
rnacentral:piRNA from 1 species